AUGGAUGGGCCCAAUAUCAGGAGCGGGGAUGUGAAGUCUUUUAAGGCAUUUGCCCUUCGUGUCCGAGCACUGGUUGGAAUGUUAAAUCAGUUAGGUAGCACAGGUUGGACUGAACUGAAAUGUGGCUCACACGUUUCUCGUCUCUUAGCUAAGUUGCCGUAUGACCUAAGAGCUAACUUCAAGAGAUUCAUUAACCCCCUUCAGACACCUAUUCCAACUCUGAUUGAUUUCGCAGGAUGGCUGGAAUAUGAGGUUCGCGUGCAGGUAGAAGGAACACAGUAUGGGUCCUAUUUUGAGCAUGCGAAACACAGUGUCCACAAAGACAAGCGAACUGGUUUUGUUCCCCGAAAGCCAACUACUGUCCUACAUGGUAAAGAGCAGAAAGUAGGAUCAGUAGAGCUACCAAAGACUGAAUGCAUGGACUCAGAAAGACCACAGGAGAAGCUGAAAAAGUAUUGUCCGUUCUGUAACACAAUUCAACACUACAUGAAUCAGUGCUCUAAUUUCAAACUCUUAACUAAAGAGCAAAUUGAAAGUUGGAUCAGAACAGGACAUAGAUGUUGGCGUUGCGGACGAGGGCAUUCUUCCUCUAAAUGUACGUUAAAGGCGAAAUGCAAACGGUGUGAAAGGAGGCAUCUUGAUGUUCUUCAUGAAGUCAAUGCCAACGCUGAUGUGAUGAGUAAAAGUAAUAACCGGACAUCGGAGGAAAGUUCAGUAAGCCCUACUUCUCAGGCCCUAUACUUGGAUCGACCUACGAGUAGCAGGCAAGUGCUACUGAAGUUAAUUCGAGUAAUCAUUAGGAAUGGGGAUAAGUCAUUAGAAACCUAUGCUGUGCUAGAUGACGGAUCUGAGAGAACUAUUUUGUUGAAUGAAGCUGCUCGACGUCUAGACCUUCAGGGUGAAAUUGAAGAUCUGGCUCUGCGUACAGUGAGGCAGGAUGUCCAUACCAUUCAUGGAAGAUCAGUAUCUUUCUUCAUAGCCCCUGUUUCACACCCUGACAGAUCUUACCCAGUCAAGGGUGCAUUCACCGCAAAAGAGCUAGCCCUGGUUCAGCAUACUUACCCCAUCUCUGACUUGCAAAGAAGAUAUCACCAUCUCCGUGACUUACCUUUGCACGACAUCCAUGAAGCGCAGCCCUUGGUACUUAUCGGCUCAGAUUAUCCUCACUUGAUAACCCCUGUUGAGCCAGUGAGAUUAGGUACUCCUGGAGGUCCAGCGGCGGUUCAUACAAAGCUCGGCUGGACAUUGCAAGGUCCCUCAAGGCUUAUUAAACCUCACUUGCAGGCUCAAGAAUGUUUAUUCAUUUCUUGUGUUUCUUCUGAAGCUGAGCUAUUCCGUCAAGUCGAAAAGCUUUGGCAACUGGAUACUCUUCCUUAUCAAUCGGAGAAAGUUGUCAGUCGAUCACGACAGGAUGCAGAAGCUAUUCGCCUCCUAGAGGAGAAAACCACCAGGAUUGAUGUGAAUGGGGUAAAAAGGUACGCCACGCCUCUACUCUGGAAAAAGUUGCCUCCACCUCUGAACGCACCCAAGGAGGCUGUCAUGGCCCUGCUACGCAGCACAGAGCGAAAGUUAUCUAGAGAACCUAGUAUGGCUGCCUCUUAUGAAUCAGAAAUUCAGAAACUGCUGCAGGCAGGUUACGUCACACCGUUGACAGCUGCAGAAUGUGAUCGGAGUUCCCAGUCAUGGUACAUACCACAUCAUAUGGUUCAUCACAAUGCAAAGAACCGUAUUGUUUUCAAUUGUUCUUUUGAGUACCAGGGUCAGUCUUUGAAUGAACAUCUUUUGUCCGGUCCUACCUUAAGUGCCAGCUUGUUGGGAGUUCUCCUCCGCUUUCGAGAACAUUCUGUGGCAAUCUGUAGUGAUGUGAAGGGUAUGUUCCAUCAAAUCCGUCUCCUUGAUGAAGAUAAACCCUUCCUUCGCUUUCUGUGGCGUCAUGGGAAUACAUCUGAACCGGCCAUCGUGUAUCAGUGGCAAGUUCUGCCAUUUGGCACUACGUGUAGCCCUUGUUGUGCUACUUAUGCACUUCAGUCCCAUGCCAAGGUGGAUCUCGAAGGUACUGAUGAAGUACGUCAAACGGUGGAGCGUAGCUUCUAUGUUGACAAUUGUCUUAAGAGUGUCUCUACUGAAGCUCAAGCUGUAGAGCUGGUAAACCGAUUGCAGUGCCAUCUUAUGAACGGUGGAUUCGAAUUGAGGCAAUGGGCCAGUAACAUCCCUGAAGUUAUUCACCACCUUCCUGCUGAGUUAAAGUCAAAGAGUGGGGAGAUUUGGCUAAGUCAAGAAAUGACCAACCCUCAGGAGAAUGCUCUUGGAUUGAUAUGGCAAUGUAGAUCAGACACAUUGGUAUACAAAUCGUACCAGAAAGAUGAAGGUGAAAUUACAAUGCGGAGCAUCUAUCGCACUUUAGCCAAGCUUUACGAUCCCCUUGGAUAUCUCAUUCCGUAUACCACGAGAGCCAAAAUUGUUGUGCAGUUGUUGUGGGAUAAAAAACGAGGAUGGGAUGAUCCUAAUUUACCAUCGGGCCUACUAGACAUUUGGCAUCAGUGGGAGAGAGAGCUCCCACAAUUGUCUCAGAUCCACCUACCAAGAUGCUACAGUUCCAGCCUUCAGUAUCCUGUCAAGAGCCGCAGUGUUCAUGUGUUUUGUGAUGCUUCUGAAAAAGCAUACGGCUCUGUAGCAUACUUGUGCUCUGAAGACAAUCAGGGUAAUAUGCAUGUUGCCUUCAUGGCAGCAAGGUCAAGAGUCGCUCCACGGAAACAAAUCUCCAUUGCUCGUUUAGAGCUUUGUGCUGCAUUGACAGGAGCACAACUAGGAGACGUCUUGAAGAAAGAGCUGACCUUAGAUAUCUCCAAAUUCGUCUAUUGGUCUGACUCCACUACAGUUCUUUCUUGGCUGCAGUCUGAUUCUUGCAGAUACCGAGUGUUUGUAGGAGUUCGAGUCACCGAAAUCCAAGAGUUGUCUGACCCUGGAGCUUGGCGCUAUGUUGAUUCAGCAGCCAAUCCUGCUGAUGAUAUCACGCGUGGGUUAUCACUGGUUCAACUAGCUAAAGAAACACGAUGGAAACAAGGACCAGCCUUCUUAAUGCAGUCAAGCAGUUGUUGGCCUAAGGCACCAGAAGGACAGGCCCCUGAAGAAGUUCAGGAACUUAAGAAAUCUGUGUUUUGCGGCUCAUUGAAUGAACAUAAACUGCAAGUUGAACCUGAUCCCAGUCAAUUUAGUAGCUAUCCUGAGUUACUAGAGGCUACAGCACGAUUCCUUCAUGGGGCGGCUGAUAACACUGAUUCACUCAGUGCAGAUGCGUUUCAGAAGGCAGAAUUGUCUAUCCUUAGACAAUGUCAGAUGCAAGACUUUCCUGACGAAUUUGCUUUACUCAAGGGAGGAAAAGACAUUUCUGUACAUAGCAGACUCAUUAAGCUUGCUCCUGAAUAUGACAAAGAACAAGACUUGAUUAGAGUAGGAGGACGACUUCGUAGGUGCCAUCAAUCAAUCAAUCAAUCACCUUUAUUUAUAUAG
ensembl:lncRNA